AUUGAACGCUGGCGGCAUGCCUAACACAUGCAAGUCGAACGGUAACAGGAAACAGCUUGCUGUUUCGCUGACGAGUGGCGGACGGGUGAGUAAUGUCUGGGAAACUGCCUGAUGGAGGGGGAUAACUACUGGAAACGGUAGCUAAUACCGCAUAACGUCGCAAGACCACAGAGGGGGACCUUGAGGCCUGUUGCCAUCGGAUGAGCACAGAUGGGAUUAGCUUGUUGGUGGGGUAACGGCUCACCAAGGCGACGAUCCGUAGCUGGUCUGAGAGGAUGACCAGCCACACUGGAACUGAGACACGGUCCAGACUCCUACGGGAGGCAGCAGUGGGGAAUAUUGCACAAUGGGCGCAAGCCUGAUGCAGCCAUGCCGCGUGUAUGAAGAAGGUCUUCGGGUUGUAAAGUACUUUCAGCGGGGAGGAAGGGAGUAAAGUUAAUACCUUUGCUCAUUGACGUUACCCGCAGAAGAAGCACCGGCUAACUUCGUGCCAGCAGCCGCAGUAAAAC
rnacentral:rRNA from 1 species